GACCUAACCCUUUGAAGUAAUUUAGAGGCAUGGUCAAAAACGCGAUGAACAUAAAAAACCCGUUAUUAGGGCGUUCAUCGCGUUAUACAGGGAAACUUGUAUAGAGGUCGCAAGACCUU
rnacentral:sRNA from 12 species